rnacentral:tRNA from 1 species
GCCUGGGUGGCUCAGUCGGUUGAGCGUCUGACUUCAGGUCAGGUCUGUAGAUUCAAGCCCCGCGUCAGGCU